AAAGGUCUUUUACGAAAAUCGGACGUUUUGUUUAUAUAGUAGGUUGAAUUUGGUAAUAUGGAGCGUUAAAAAUUCGCGAGGCAUUAAAAUUACCAAAGGCCAGAUAACACCGUCGCUCGAGCGAGGUACUGGCGAAACUCGAGCGACGCACCUUCGCCGAGCGACUGCUCAGCGAAACUCUAGCGAUGUCUGUUCUGCAAUUUAGGCUCGAGCGAGGUCAGGGCGAAACUCUAGCGAAAUCAACGCGCCGUUUGCAUCUUCAAAGCAUCCCACUUUACCCUAGACCUAUGCUAUGAACUUUGCUAAAUUACAACUUUAGUCCCUGAACUAUUAGACCUUUACAAUUUGGUCCUUGACUUUACAAUUUUGACAAAUAUGUCCUUUGGUCACAGAUUGCCAAUUACACAUUUUCCUAACAAACUCCCCCUUUGGCAUUCUGUGACAAAAAUAAAUAUGACAAUCAAGGACAUAAAUAAAAAUGACUCCAAACAACCUAUCUAUUCAACCAAAGCAGCUAUCCCUUGUUGAACCUAUUUCCUGAAAAUCAAAAACUCAAAUACCAAGUGUAAAAGCAUGUGAAAUGGAAACAAUAAGUAAAAACAAGAAAUAGAUCAUACGUCAUUAACCAGAUUAAGAAGCAAUAAUAAUGUAAGUCAAAAACACCAAAAACAUACAUUAAUAUUGCCAAAACAUCAAAAACUUAAUCUAGUCAUGAAUUAUAUACAUCAUCUUUAUAUCACAAUUACCAAAAAAUAGAUAUCUAUCUAUCCAACUCUAUCCAAAAUAUCUACUCCCCCUUUUUGUCACGAAGGACAAAGGAUCAAAAAACAAUCAACUAACUAACUACGAGGCAACACCUCCAGCAUCUGAAGACUCAGCACCGCUCUCGCCACUUGUGCUCUCCUCCAUACUAUCACGAAUCUAGCGCAAAUGUUGCUGACAAACGGCAAGAACACGGCAAAAAGUAGAAAGCUCAGCUGACUGACGCUCCGAAGCAGCACGUAACUGCGUGAUCUCAGCCAUCAUACGAGCCUGCUGCUCGACCAGUGUAGACAUCUGUCCCAUAAGCGUCACCAUGGGGUCAACGGGCAAAGCAGCCACCCCAGGAGUAGAAGUAGAUGUCGAAGGAAAGGUAGAGCUAAGCGGAAUAGCUAAAGGAGGAUCAAAACGAGAAGGAAGAAAGACACGAGAACCCCCAGUAAGAAUAUCAGUAAUAGGAUCAAGGGGCUCCGAAAAAUCAAAGACACCAACAGGCUCAGCCUGAGCCGCAGCAUGAGCAGAAGAGGAAGAAAACGGAACAUGGGAUCGACUCUGAUGAAUGGUCUGCUAUCCUAUCGGACGUCCUAUGCGACUAGUCGAACCCUCUGGAAAAGAAGCACCUAAAGACAAAGCAACCCUAUGAAUCAAGCAAGCAUAAGGCAACUCGAUCCGUCCCCCAGGAGUACGAAAUGAAGCCAGAAUCUACUGGAACACAAAACUAGGAAGGUCGAUCGAGUCCCCAUGCAGAAGCGCAUAUAGAAAACGGGCCCUCACCAUAGGUAAAGAAGACGUGUGGGCAACAGGCCACAGGUUUGUGCACACGAUGCGCAACAAAACCUGACAAUUAGUGGGUAAAGAACCCGUGGUCAUCGCCGUAGGCCCCCUGACAGACGGGUGUUCAAAAGCGUCGACCGAACAAGGGCAUCGGCCGGAAUAGAAGCAGGUAGAAUAUAAGGAAAAGUCGGAUGGGAAAUCUGAGGUAUACCUAAAGCAUGAGCUACUGCGGCGGAGUAACCCUAAAAGAAUGACCUCUAAGAAAAACCCUAAACGACGAGCCGUCUAUGUCAUGAAUAUUAGCAUAAAACUCCUGAACCAGGAGUGGGGGCGGAGGUGAAAGACCAACAAGAAGGGGCUCCCAACCCCAGGAAACAAAAAUGGCAGCUAUAUCAACAGGAAGGUCAGAUAAGAUUACCUCACGCUCCACGAGUACGGAGCGUAAGGAGAACUGAGAAGUGAAGACCUCCUGAGCUGUAGCAGAAAUGAAUCGCAAUUGACUAUACGACGUUGAACCACUGGCCGGCUGUGCAGAGGGUCGAGAACGCUUACGGGCCAUCUGGCACACGUAGAGAUGGAACUAAUGAGUAACAUGAAGAAUGCACGUAAUAUGAUGCAAUGUGAAAUGAAACACUGCACACACAAAUGAGGCACGAAAGAAAUGCAUCGAAAAAUGUGAACGACCCUAAGAGCAAACCAAGCAUGACGAAAAGAUAAACCUAAAAUAUGUCCAAAAGCACUCAACAUGGCACGUGACGACAAUGAAACAAAGAUGAAAUGGAAAGAAGGAAAACAGAAACACAAAAAAAAAACUAAGGGAAAACAAAAGUCAUAUAGCCAAGGACUUUCAUCGAACACGUGGCGUGCGACACUUUGGCACACAGUUCCAAGCACAUACGAGACGCAAAUACACAACCAAGCAUAGUCCCACAAACUAGAAACCAUAGUCUUUAGAAUGAAACAAACCACACAAGAAAUGGAGUAACGGAACGCAAGAACGAACAACACGAACAUGAACGAAAAACACGAAAAUUUCAUUACUAAACCAUGGAAGAACACACAAUUUAAUGUAAUUUGUGAUGCAAAAUGCGAAGAAUAACAAGAAUAACAAACAAGAAAUGCAUGAAGAUCAUAACAAGGAAAGAAGAAACAAUCAAAAUACAAAAAAAAAAAAAAAAACUAAACACAAGAGGAUAAAAAAAAGAAAGGAAAAAAACGAAAAACAAUUACCUCAAAAACGUUGUGCAAAUGUUGAAAUCCGGAAGCCAAUAUAUGUUAGGGGCUUCGAAAUUGUGUAAUAAACAAGUGUGAUGGAUGAAUUUUGAAUGAAUCGCAGCAAUUGUUGAAAAAAUGAGAGAGAAUGAAGAAGAAUUGCGUGAAAAAUGAAAACUGGGACUCUUAAAAAAGCACUGUCGCCCGAGCGAGCCAUGGGCGAAACUCGAGCGAAAUUCAAAUGUCAAAAAUAGCACUAAAAUUUUGAAUAUUGAGAAAAAGAACACAAUUAUCAAGAAAUGACGAAAUUAGCCCCAAAUCGUAUAUUUUCAAAAAUAAGACAAGUGCAGAGCAUCGGAAACUAAUCAAAAAAAAAGAAGCAUGGGACCAAUUAUGUAAACUAUACCAACAAUAAGCAUAAAGUCACAAUCCCGACACUCAGCACAUAAACAAAUCGUAAGUCCACACAUAGUUCAAAAUCCCGUGGAGUAAAGUGUAUACAGAACAUCACCGUGAAAAGUGUCACGUAGUCCAUGCAAGUGAGACUCAAAACCUUAAAUUAGUGAGAAUUGACACGUGAAAACAACCAGACAAAGGUGUAUGUCUACCAAGUGACAGUCAAAUCCAAUUCCACGAGGACCUAUAUCAAAUAUUACGAUUGUCACAAUUUUACUCCCCCUAAUUGUAUGAUUCCAUAUUUCUUCCCUUUUUUCUUUUUUUUUUCAACAAAAGAACUUAAGUGCAAUGAUAUCCCCAUUAGGCGACAAAAAUGACCCCGGUAACGAACUUUGGGCCGAUGACUCCCAAGUCAAAUGACCAUAGGGCACCAGGUUAGAAACCUCUCAGACUUAAUUGUUCGAGUCAAAUAUGCCCCGAAGACAGUCAUAAGUUCAACAAAAUAAAAGUGGGGAAAGACAAUAUGAUUAGGUGACAUUAGUCCCAGAUCAAGUCAAAUGGACACAUAACCCCAAUCACAGAAGAACACUAUCCCAAGUCUCACCCAUACGGUCAAGACUCACUCACAGGACUACAGUGUGUGCUAUGCAAAAAUGAAUGACGAGACAUAUACUCAGAACUCCACAGGCAAAGAGAACGAUGAUGGAACCUCAGACUUCUACAUAUGAUGAAAAAUAGAGUUUGAUCUUUAAUGCAAAAGCUAUUAUCGUCACAUAAAAGGCAUACACAAAAAAAAAUCCCAUUUUAUUUUUAUUUUUUAUUAUUAUUUUUUUUAAUUAAAUUUUUUUUUUAAAUUUUCAUAUUUAAACACACAAAUAUAACACACAAAAGAAGACUAAACGACAAACUACCACUCAAAAAUGCAUCACACACACACAGAUCACAUGCAUGAUAUGAAGUGACUAGGUGCAUAUGUGAUGAAUGCAUGAAUAUGCAUGAAUCCACGAUCAGAUAGGUGAACAAACACCAACAGCCGUCCGAAGCGACUCAAACCUCAAUCCAUCUAGUGGUUUCGUAAGUAGAUCAUCCAAUUGAUUAUCAGUAGAGACAUGGUCGAGGGAGACUACAUGUGAUUUAACAAGUUCACGAAUGAAGUGAUGUAGUAUGUCAAUAUGUUUUGUUCGAGAGUGUUGAAUGGGAUUCUUAAAAAUAUUUAUAGCACUUGUAUUAUCACAGAAAACAGUCAUGGUCCCUUGACUAAUCCCAUAAUCACUCAGCAUCUGCUUCAUCCAGAUAAGCUGAGUGCAGCAACUACCUGCAGCUAUGUAUUCGGCCUCUGUCGUGGAUAGAGAUAUAGAAUUCCGUGUCUUACUUAACCAGGCUACGAGAUUGCUCCCCAUGUAAAAAAAUCCCCUGUCGUACUUUUCUUAUCAUCUGCGUUCCCAGCCCAGUCGGCGUCGGAGUAACCAGCCAAAUCAAGAUUAGAAUUCCUAGAAUAGAAUAUCCCUAGAUCAAUUGUACCACUCACAUAUCUAAUGAUGCGUCUAAUAGAGCUUAAGUGUGAUUUUUUGGAUCUGUCUGAAAUCGAGCACACACUCCAACACUAAAAGCAAUGUCAGGUCUAGUAGCCGUGAGAUAGAGAAGACUACCUAUCAUGCUUCGAUAUAGGGAAGAAUCUACACACUUACCUGAAGGAUCAUGACCUAACUUCAAGCUAGUACUCAUAGGUGUCCUAGUAUGCUUCUUACUAUCUAACCCAAAGCGCUUAACUAGAUCCUUAGCAUACUUAGACUGUGAAAUGAACAGUCCAUCCUCUGUCUGUCUCACCUAAAGUCCAAGGAAAUAACUCAACUCCCCAACCAUACUCAUCUCAAAUUCUUGCUUCAAACACUCAGCAAACUCAUAUGCUAGAGACUCAAGAGGAGACUCAAAAAUAAUGUCAUCGACAUAAAUCUGAGCAAUGGUGAUAGUUUCUUCAAUAUGUCUAAUAAAUAAGAUCCUAUCUGUACCACCUCGAGAGAAUCCAUGUUCCUCAAGGUAUGAAGUAAGUCUCUCAUACCAAGCUCUAUGAGCUUGUUUCAGACCAUAAAGUGCUUUGUGGAGUUUGUAGACAUAGUGGGGGAACUUAGGAUCAACAAAUCCUUUUGGUUGUUCCACAUAGACUUCUUCCUGAAGAAGUCCAUUCAAGAAGGCACUCUUAACAUCCAUUUGAUGUAACUUGAACCCUAAGGUACAAGCAACAGCAAGCAGAAUCCGAAUAAACUCUAGUCGUGCAACAGGGGCAAAAGUUUCAUCAAAAUCAAUUCCUUCAACUUGAGUAUAACCCUGAGCAACUAAUCUGGCCUUAUUCCUAGUUAUAGUACCUUGGUCAUCUGUCUUAUUCUUAAAGAUCCACUUAGUACCAAUAACAUUACAAUUUUUAGGUCUGGGAACUAAGGUCCACACAUUGUUCCUAGCAAAUUGAUUGAGUUCCUCAUGCAUCGCAUUCACCCAACACUCAUCACUAAGAGCCUCUUCAACUUUCUUAGGCUCUACACGAGAGACAUACCUAGUGUAAGCUAGAUUGUUCAGUACUCUCCUACGAAGUCUCAUACCUUCAUCUAGAUCAUCAAUGAUAUUGUCCUUAGGAUGAUUAGACUUAACCCUAGUCGAUGGUUCCUUAGGAUUUUUAUCUCGAUCUUGUGGAAGUGUUUCCUUUUCAGGUGUUUCAGUUUUCCUAAGAGAUGAUUCAGGCACAGGUGGUCAGUGGGAUCACUAGAACUUAUAAGAUCACCAUCACUAUCACAAUUUUCAACACUCUCCCCCUCACUCACAGCAUCAUCUAUCACAACAUUGAUUGACUCCAUCACAACAUGAGUUCGUGAGUUAUAUACUCGGAAUGCUCGACUAUUUCUAGAGUAUCCUAAGAAAACUCCUUCAUCACUCUUAGAUCCAAACUUACCCAAGUUCUCUCUAUCACGCAGAAUAUAGCACUUACUCCCAAACACACUAAAGUACUUAACCGUAGGCUUUUUACCCUUAAGAAUUUCAUAUGGAGUCCGAUCGGUCUUGGGCCUAAGGUAGACUCUAUUGAUUAUGUGGCAUGCAGUGUUAACAACUUCUCCCCAAAAGUGUAGGGCUAGUCCUCUUCCAUGAAGCAUGGCUCUAGCCAUGUCCUGAAGAACACGAUUAUUCUUUUCAACCACCCCAUUUUGUUGAGGAGUGAUAGGGGAAGAAAACUCAUGCAAUAUCCCUUCAUCCAUGCAAAAACUCUCAAGAUUAGAAUUUUCAAAUUCUUUUCCAUGAUCACUACGCAUUCUAGACACUUUGAGAUAGAGUUGAUUAUUAAGCCGCUUACACAGAGACUUUAUAAGAUCACAUGCAUCAGAUUUUUUCCUAAGCAAUUCUAUCCAUGUGAACCUCGAGAAGUCAUCUACCACAACAAUAAUGUAUAGCUUACCUCCUAGACUCUCAGUCCUAGAUGGUCCCAUUAAAUCCAUGUGUAUCAAUUCCAGGGGUCUUUUGGUCAGAAUUUUAGAAGUCUUUUUAUGACUUCCCUUAAGCUGUUUACUUAGUUGACAUGGUCCACGCACAACAUUUUCACUCGGACUUAUCUUAGGCAAACCAUUUACCAAUUCCUUCUUAGCUAGCUGUACUACACUCUUAUAAUUCAAGUGACCUAACCAUUUGUGCCAGAGCUCACUCACAUCAAUUUUUGCACUCCUACACACAUAAUUAGAAUUAGGCAAAACUCCAUAACAAUUGUCAGAUGUUCUAACCCCUUCAAGGACCACCCCGCCGGACGAAUCAUACACGGUACAUCUCUUUUGCACAAAGCUAACCUCAAAAUCAUCAUCACAAAUCUGACUAAUGCUUAACAAAUUAGACUUUAAGCCUUCCACAUAAAGCACAUUAGAGAUCACAGGUAAUCCAUACAUUUGUACAGUACCUUUGCCAAGAAUAGGUGCAGAACCCCCAUCUCCAAAGGUAACUAUACCACCAUUACAUUCAUCAAGAGUAGUGAACCAAGCUUUAUUACCACACAUAUGCCUAGAACAUACACUAUCUAGAUACCACAUAUUGUAAUUUUGGGCUUUUAAUGCAACAUGAGCAACAAAACAGUUUUCUUAACCUGAAUGUCUAGCUAGAUCACCCUUUUUCACCCAAACUUUCUUAGAUGAUAAAGUACUCCUAGUAAGCUUAGUAAGCAUCUCAGUCAAAUGACUAACCUGAUUAGACAGAAAGCUAACCUGACUAGGAAUGUUAUGAUUUCUACGCUCAUUGCCUAAUUUAUAACAUCUAGGCCUACUGUGUCCUAGAGCUCCACAGUGGUGACAGAUGGGAAUGAACCUAUGCUCAAAGGUACGUGUCUGUGGGUAUCUGGGAUUGAAGUUCCUACGUGAUUGAUGACUCUGUUCUCUCGGAACAUUCUUACCCUUUUUUGAACUGCCGACAGCAUUAGCUUUCUUAGAGGCAGAAACAACACAGUCUUAGAUGGUCUAGUAACAUGUGUGUUACCCUCAACGUAUCCUAGACCUUUCCUAUCUCCUGUAGGCUUAUUCAUUCCCAAACUAUUGUCCAAUUUCUUAGUCCCACUUAUGAAAGUCUAAAGAUGAGCAUUAGAUUUCUCCAAUUCACUAGUCAAAGUCUUUAUCUUGUCCUCUAACUUCUCAUUGACACACUUUAACUCACUACCACUCUUAAGUGAAUCCUGAAGAUUACUAGCAAGUUUCUUUUUUUCUCUUUCAAGUUCAUCAACCUUUUUGAGUAGGGCUUUAUUGACCUUUUUGAUUUUAAGACUCUCUUUAAACAAAAGUUGAUAAGCUUCUUGUAUGUCUAUGUCAUCCUCAUCCUCAUUACUAGAAUUAUCGUUAGGAAGUUCUUCCUCAACCCCUCAACCUUGUCACUUUCUUUGUUUCUUCUUAUAACUAGGGCAUUCAUUCCUAUAGUGACCUAUACCUUGACACUCAUGGCACCUAACCAAACGAGGCUUAUCACUAGACCCUUUAUUGGUAAACUUUUCAAUUUUUUCUUUUGAAAAACUGCUGAGGGCUCCACUUUUUCUAUCCUGAGGCUUUCUCCUAUUCUUGAGAACUUUUUGGAAUCUCUUAACAAAGUAAACAAUUUCAUCGUCCCUAAGUGACUCAGUAUCAGAAUAUUCAUCCUCUUUGAUGGAUUUUAAGGCUAUGGACUUUCCUUUCUUAGGUUGUGUGACAGUGAGUUCAUAAGUUUGCAGGGAUCCUACCAGUUCUUCAAUUUUAACUUCAUCUAGGUCCUUACUUUUCUCAAUGGCAGUGACCUUAGGCCUAAAUCUCUCGGGCAGGGACCUAAGCACUUUUCUCACAAUUUUAGACUCAGGAAUUCUCUCACCUAGAUUGAAGCUAGAAUUAACAAUGUCAUUCAAUUUAGCAUAGAAUUCGUCAAACGUUUCAUCAUCCUUCAUUCUCACUUCUUCAAACCUAGAUGCUAGCAUUUGUAACUUGGAAUUCUUUACCGUUUUAGUUCCCUCAUGUGUAGUUUCAAGAAUGUCCCAAACCUCUUUACAAGUUUCACACAUUGACAAUCUCCUAAACUUUUCGGGAGACACGGCCAUAAACAGGGCAUGAAGACCCUUGCUAUUCCAAUUACACUCAGUUAUUUCAUCCUUAGUCCACAGUGAUAUGUCAGUUAGAUUAAUAGUUCCAGAAAGGGUAGUGGAGGGAGGUUUCCAACCAUUUUGCACACUUACCUAAACAUGCUCAUCUAAAGACUUAAGAAAAGCACGCAUUCUAACCUUCCAAUAAGCAUAAUUACUUCCAUCGAAAAAUGGAGGCACAGACAGUGAUUGACUCAUCUAGACAACUAUGGGUCAGGACUCGAGAUUUGGCUCUGAUACCACUUGAAAAAGCUAUAGUUCGACCCAACCAACACCUAGAGGGGGGGUGAAUAGGUGUUUAUGCGGAAUUAAGGCAAUUAAUUAACUUAUGCAACAAGUCACAUAAAUUACGCAUUGUCCAGAUUCAUUCACAUACUUUAUCUAUCUAAGUUGAAUUACCGGUUGAAAAGUAAAUAACAAAAACCAGUAAAAACGCCACAAAAUGUUGACGGAGAAAACCCAACUGGGUAAAAACUCCGGGCACAAGCCAGUAGAGAUCCACUAUAGAAGAUAUUGACUUAUAGUACGCCAAACAUUAUUGAUUCUAACAAUACUCUGACCUCCUUACUGUAUCGACCACAUCUAUCCUGGAUUUUGCAGAUCUGCGUCAAAAUCCCAGCCUUGAAUAUCUUCUACCUCCCAUGAAUCACCAAGCACUCCAGCUCUUCAAGCAAUUCCCUUCCCGGAUCUUCAAACUGACGAUCUUCUGGAAGUUGAUAUGGAGAUAUGAAAGGGUGUUUUGGUUUUGAGAGGGUUGAUGUUUUUAUUCAAAGAACCAUGAGAAUUAAAAGAUGAAAAGAAUGAAUAUUAGGUUCUUAAUCCUUUGGAAGUUGAGAGGAAUUCCUGUUUGAAUGUUUGCCAAAGGUCCUUUACGAAAAUCAGACGUUUUGUUUAUAUAGUAGGUUGAAUUUGGUAAUAUGGAGCGUUAAAAAUUCGUGAGGCAUUAAAAUUACCAAAAGCCAGAUAACACCGUCGCUCGAGCGAGGUGCUGGCGAAACUCGAGCGACGCACCUUCGCUCGAGCGACAGCUCAGCGAAACUCUAGCGACGUCUGUUCUGCAAUUUAGGCUCGAGCGAGGUCAGGGCGAAACUCUAGCGAAAUCAACGCGCCGUUUGCAUCUUCAAAGCAUCCCACUUUACCCUAGACCUAUGCUAUGAACUUUGCUAAAUUGCAACUUUAGUCCCUGAACUAUUAGACCUUUACAAUUUGGUCCUUGACUUUACAAUUUUGACAAAUAGGUCAUUUGGUCACAGAUUGCCAAUUACACAUUCUCC
rnacentral:lncRNA from 1 species